UGGAGGAUAUGCUGUAGAUGGUUGUAGAGAGUUCAUGGCAAGUGGUGGUGAAGGUACAAUUUCUGCUCUAACUUGUGCUGCUUGUGGCUGCCACAGAAACUUCCACAAAAAAGAGGUUGAGACUGAAGCACUAAGUGAAUUCUCUUCACAAACCUCCUCAGGGAUUUGAUGAUGAGCAUUUCAUGAUAUAUACCUCAACAAUUAUGUAAUAUAUAUAUUCUGUGAACUUACUUGAUUUUGCUAGUUAAGUGAGAUUUUAAGAUAUAGUGUUGGGCUUGCUUAAUUAAUUAUGUAGAACUAUAUGUUCUAUAGUAAGUUGGUGUGUAUAAUGGGUGAAUUCUCUUAAUUUCUUGAUUAAACUUAUCUUAUGACCUAGAGGUAUAUGCGCUUCCGUGCAUCUACUCACUCAGAUCUUAUUAGGUGAGAGACUCCUACAUUGGUACAACUUUUUUUUAUUUCUUUCAUUACUUUAUCAUUUUUUUGCUUCGCAUAUUAGCAGUGUUUUAAAUUAUUAUUGCGUCCAUGGUUGUGGUUAUUGUGGCUGUGUAGUCGUUGCGGUGUAAAUAUUUGUGAUCGAAAAAAUAAUUUUGAAUUUGAUGAGUUCCGAUGUGGCAUGAUGUGAUUAUGUUAUGAUCACUUCAUUGUCACAUAACAUUUACCGUUAUAACGGUUACCACAAUUACAAUAUUAUAGCUGCAUGCAUCGGUUGAUGUAGUCUGCAAUUUUAUACUAGGUUGUGUAACUUUAAAAUAUGAUGAUGGGUACUUAAAUUGGUUAGGUUUGCUGAUUUUGAUUCAAUUCAAUAUCAUAUCCUUUGGGACAUAAAACAAAUGUACCAAACCUCACUUUGCUUUGCCUUGUGUCUCUAUUUUUUCCCUUUAUUUCUAUUUUAGUAUUGCCGUGUCUGUAUUAAACUUUUCUCACAUAUGAUCAAGAUACAGUGCUCCUGAAUUUAAUAUCACUUAUUACUAUACCAUGGUAGCUAGUUUCUUGAGUGUGCAAUGUGUAGUCUAUAACAACUGUGUCAAAAAAUCACAAUUAUAGCCGUUUCUAAAUAUAAGAGAUUUGUAUUUAUUAGAUAAGCAGUAAUAAAAACUCUAUAAUCCUAUCCACACUGAAAAGAGGGGGAGAAAAAUAGAUAAGAAUGCAUGAGCUAUGAGUAUCAUCUCUUUUACUAAUUGGUCAAUGAAAUGGAUUAUUAGAAUUAAUCAAACUAAGUAACUAAAACAUAUAUGUUAUAUACCAAUAAGGUAUAGGUCUAGUGGUGUAAGGUCUCACUAGAUCCACAAGAUGACCAAAAAGUCAAUGGUACGAUUCCUAGGAGCAACACUUGUUGGGAGGGGCAGUCAUGUACCCCAAAAGAGAUUAGUUCCUUAUCUAAAAGGAUGAGGGGAUACUCUUGAUAUUACAAAAAAACAAAUGUUAAAUAAGCUACAUAUCCUAGGUAUAUGUUAAUGUUCCUAACUUCCUAUAAUAUGUAUGAUUAAAACCCUAAAUGAAGUUAAAGCACUAAUACAAGUAAAAAGAAGAAAGUAUGAGAUAAAUCAAAAGGGUACCUACUACAUACCUUUGCAUAUUAUGAUAGAGAUACGUUUUCAUAUAGCAGUAGGAGAAAUGAAAGUCACAAACACAAGUCUUUUUAGCAGUUCAACAAGUUGCUUAUAACAAAAAUUAACAUGCAGAGUGUGCAAAGGGGAAGUUAUUUGGAACACAUUUCUGUACUCUAUAGCUAAGUUUUCAUAAAAAAGAAG
rnacentral:lncRNA from 1 species